rnacentral:rRNA from 1 species
GUACGCUGGCGGCACGCCUAACACAUGCAAGUCGAACGCAGUAGCAAUACUGAGUGGCAAACGGGUGAGUAUAAUGUGGGAAUCUGCCUUUUGGUUUGGAAUAACACGGGGAAACUUGUGCUAAUACCGAAUAAGCCCUUACGGGGAAAGUUUUAAUGCCGAAAGAUGAGCCCGCACUUGAUUAGCUAGUUGGUAAGGUAAAAGCUUACCAAGGCAAUGAUCAAUAGCUGUUCUUAGAGGAAGACCAGCCACAUUGGGACUGAGACACGGCCCAGACUCCUACGGGAGGCAGCAGUGGGGAAUCUUGCACAAUGGGGGAAACCCUGAUGCAGCGAUGCCGCGUGAGUGAAGAAGGCCUUUGGGUUGUAAAACUCUUUCGUCGGGGAAGAAAAUGACUGUACCCGAAUAAGAAGGUCCGGCUAACUUCGUGCCAGCAGCCGCGGUAAUACGAAGGGACCUAGCGUAGUUCGGAAUUACUGGGCUUAAAGAGCUCGUAGGUGGUUAAAAAAGUUGAUGGUGAAAUCCCAAGGCUCAACCUUGGAACUGCCAUCAAAACUUUUUAGCUAGAGUGUGAUAGAGGUAAGUGGAAUUUCUAGUGUAGAGGUGAAAUUCGUAGAUAUUAGAAAGAACACCAAAUGCGAAGGCAACUUACUGGGUCACUACUGACACUGAGGAGCGAAAGCAUGGGUAGCGAAGAGGAUUAGAUACCCUCGUAGUCCAUGCCGUAAACGAUGUGUGCUAGACGUUGGAAAUAUAUUUUUCAGUGUCCCAGCGAAAGC